rnacentral:tRNA from 1 species
CUUCUCGUGGUGUAGUGGUAAAGCGCCUGUCUAGUGAGCAGGAGUCGUGAGUUCAACUCUCACCGAAAGGA